CAGUGUGUGACCUGAGGCUCAACUCACCUCUCGCAAUAUGAGGUGAUUUUUUUGAAAAACAGAGACUAAAGAUACCUCAGCGUAUGACCCGAGGCUCAACUCACCUCUCGCAAUAUGAGUUGAAUUUUGAAAAAACAGAAAUUGAAAAUACCUCGGCGUGUCUCAAGGCUCAACUCACCUCUCGUAAUAUGAGUUGAUUUUUGAAACAUAAAUUGAAAAACAGAAAUUGAAAAUACCUUAGCAUGUGAGUCGAGGCUCAACUCACCUCUCGCAAUAUGAGUUGAUUUUUUUGAUGAACAGAAAUUAAAAUUACCUCAGCGUGUCCUGAGGCUCAACUCACCUCUCGCAAUAUGAGUUGAUUUUUUUGAAAGACAGAAAUUAAAAAUACCUCAACGUGUCUUGAGGCUCAACUCACCUCUCGCAAUAUGAGUUGAUUUUUGAAAUAGAAAUAAAAACAUCAAAAUACCAAAACAUGUCAUUUGGUGGAACUCAGGUGUUUUUUCCUUUGAUUUAGUACAGCUAUUAUCACAUCCUCUUGCUCUACUGGAGUACCUGUAUAUGUCAUGCAUGAUGUUAUCAUGAUAUGCACAUGUUUGUCUUAAAUGCUUUUAUGCCUACAUGAUUAUGCUAUGCGCCUUAAGCAUGUUUGUCGUAUGUCCUUUUUUGUUACGAUUUUUGUGAUGAUCUGCGUUCAUUACUUUGGCUCUUGACUUUCUCUUUAGGCCCUGUACCCGUCCUCAAGCUUCACGAGUAAUCAACAUUUCUCAGAUAUCACUCUUUUUCCCCUGGUUAAACUUUGUCCUUAUUUUGAGACUCUUGUACUUAUCAAAUUCUUAUCCGGGUAAUGCUCAACAUUUCUUUUGUCUAGAGUAUGUCAUUUCACUAUUUAUCAUUUAAAUAAACCACAUAAUGAGAUGCAUAAAAAUGGUCAGGUAGGGACAACAGGGGUACCUCACAUUUAUUUAUUUCAAAUAUAACAAACAAAGAAAGUUAACCAAUGAUAUUAAAAAAAGUGUCAUAAAGAGAAAAGAGAUCGCAUUCAACAGAUACAAAUGCUCUAGAUAUUCAAUGCAUGAACUCUUCCACGUUUCUUAAUCAAGAAUCCUUUCAAGUGUGGCUUCUUGUGUAGAGGAUUUCGAGCUUUCAGAAAUGCUUCAAAUACUGGAGACCCAUAUUAAUUUUUAUUUGGUCCAAAAAUAUUUUAUCAUUUCUGUAUUCGCAAUUCAAUAUAGAUGGGUAUUUCAUAACAUAUAUAUGUCCCUCUUACUCUCAGUUUUCUCAGGCAAUUUGGUGGAAUACUCGAAGGGUCGAUUCUUUUUUUCGUCUUAGCUUCUGUCUUUAUGAAUGAAAACAAAAGAAAGGAGUCUCUCAUUAUGAUCUGGAUUUCAUUUCUAUGGGUUGCAUCUUUUUUUCUUUAAUUUCAUUUUUAUUCUUAUCCUUUUAUUAGACUAUCCUAUAUAACCAUAAUAACUAAAAAAAUAAAAAUGAAAAUUGAAUUUAUUCAUUAUUAAAAAUGAAAAUGAAAUUCAUUAUUUUUUUUUAUAGUAUAAUAGCUAGAACUAAUUAUUUAUAUUUACCGUCUUGCUCUUUAAGCCCGGGUUUACUCCAUUAAGAAGCCCUUUUGGGUUUUCAUCCUAAUCUUUUGUGUUAAUCAAGACGCUUUUUUCGGGUUUUCACCUUGAUCUCACUUUUUUUAGGCAUAAUAUUUCUUUACAGCAUCUGAGUUAACUAGGUUAGGUAACUCUUUCUCAUCCAUCUCAGUGAGAAUCAAAGCUCCACCCGAGAAUGCCUUCUUUACGACGUAUGGUCUUUCCCAAUUUGGUGCCCAUUUUCCUUGCAGGUUUUUUUGUAUUGGGAGAAUCUUUUUCAGCACGAGUUCCCCUUCGUGGAAUUCUCUUGGCUGUACUUUCUUGUCAUGGGCCGCGAUCAUUCUCUUCUGGUACAUCUGUCCGUGACAAAUUGCCUUUAGACGUUUUUCCUCGAUGAGGUUCAACUGGUCAUAUCGAGCUCGAACCCAUUCUGCUUCCUCUAGUUUCGACUCCAUUAAGACUCGUAGAGAGGGGAUCUCAACUUCGAUAGGUAGCACAGCUUCCAUUCCAUAGACCAGAGAGAAAGGAGUUGCUCCCGUAGAUGUCCGCACAGAUGUGCGAUAUGCAUACAAAGCAAAUGGUAGCUUUUCGUGCUAGUCUUUAUAAGUAUCGGUAAUUUUCCCAAUAAUCUUUUUAAUAUUCUUGUUGGCCGCUUCAACAGCUCCGUUCAUUUUCAGGCAAUAGGGUGAUGAGUUAUGAUGCUUUAUUUGAAAUUGCUCACACACUUCUUUCAUCAUCUUGUUGUUCAGAUUCAAGGCGUUAUCUGAAAUGAUUCUUUCAGGCAAACCAUAUCGACAAAUGAUUUCUUUUUUCAAAAACCUGCAAACUGUAGUCUUCGUCAUAUUGGCAAACGAAGCGGCUUCUAAACAUUUUGUGAAGUAAUCAAUAACCACAAAAAUAAACCGUUGUCUAUUAGAAGCUUUUGGGGAAAUUGGCCUUAUAACAUCCAUACCCUACAUAGAAAAAGGCCACGGAGAAGUCAUUACAUGAAGGGGCAAAGGGACUACAUGAAUCAUAUCGCCAUAAAUUUGACAUUUGUGGCAUUUUCUUGCAUAACUAAUGUAGUCACUUUCCAUCAUCAGCCAGUAAUAAUCGAGUCUCAUAAUCUUCUUGGCCAUAGUGAAACCAUUUGCAUGUGUCCCACAAAUUCCCUCAUGGACAUCUUCAAGUAUUUUUCUAGCUUCAAUAUCAUCUACGCAUCUCAAGAGCACUUUAUCUUUUCCUCUUUUGUAUAGGAUGUCCCCAUCAAGAAAAAAUCCCACUGACAUUCUUCUGAUUGUUCUUUUAUCAUUCUCAUUUGCUUAUUCGGGAUACUUUUGAUUCUUGACAUAUUCUAAGAUAUCAUGGAACCAUGGCCGUCCAUCUGGCUCUUUCUCAAUGCUGAAACAAUGUGCAGGGACUUCAUAUAUGCUCAUUUGGAGAUGCAUUAUUUCUGUUUCUCUGUUCGCUUUGAACAUUGAGGCCAAAGUGGCCAGGGCAUCAGCCAAUUGGUUUUCUUCUCGUGGGAAGUAAUUAAAAGUUAUUUCUUUGAAUUCUUUAAUCAGCCCUGCCACUAGAUCGCUGUAUUUGACUAAUUUCGAAUCUCUCACUUCCCAAUCUCUACGGAUUUGCUAUAUCACCAACGCUGAGUCCCCUUACACUUCUAAGAUUUUGACUCAAUAGCUGCACGAAGUCCCAUUAUACAGAUCUCAUAUUCUACUAUGUUAUUGGUACAGAAGAAAUUCAACCUGGCAGUGAACGGAUAAUGGUUCCCUUCUGGGGAUACUAAGACUGCUCCAAUCCCAUGCCCCAAUGUAUUCGAUGCACCAUCAAAACUCAUCUUCGAUGACUUCUCUUGGGAUGAAUCAUAUUCUUUUCCCGUAAUGCACAUUAAGUCUUCAUCCGGGAAAUCAAAUCUCAAUGGCUCGUAUUCCUCCGUUGUUCGAGUUGCUAAGAAAUCAACUAUUGCACUCUCUUUUAUUGACUUUUGGCUCACAUAGACGAUGUCGUAUUCUGAUAGUAAGAUCUUCCAUCGUGCCAUUCUUCCUGAGAGGGCAGGUGAUUCCAUCAUGUACUUAAUUGAGUCCAGCUUCAAAAUUAACCAUGUCGUAGGAUACAACAUAUAUUGCCUAAGCCUCCGAACUACCCAAACCAAAGUGCAACAGAAUUUUUCAAUUGAUGAGUACUUUGCCUCAUACUCUGUGAACUUUUUGCUGAGAUAGUAAAUCGCCUUUUCUCUUUUCCCUGACUCAUCGUGUUGCCCCAGUACGCAACCCAUUGAAUUUUCGAACACAGUUAGAUACAAUAUUAACGGUCUUCUUGGAGUUGGAGGUACUAGCACCGAGGGACUAGACAAAUACUAUUUUAUCUUGUCAAAAGCCACUUGGCACUCUUCGUUCCAUUCUCCCAGAUUAUGUUUUCAAAGGAAUCGUAAAAUUGGGUCACACUGGUUGGUAAAUUGAGCAAUGAACCGAGCGAUGUAGUUCACCUCCCUAAAAAUCCUCUGACUUCUUUUUGCGUGCGCGGAGGUGGCAGUUCUUGUAUGGCUUUUAUCUUAUCUAGAUCAACUUCAAUGCCUCUCUCGCUGACGAUGAAGCCUAGCAAUUUUCCUGAGGUUGCCCCAAACGUGCACUUGGUUGGAUUAAGCUUCAGCUGGAACUUUCUCAGUCUCUCGAACAACUUCUUGAGGUUCUCAACAUGCUCUCUUUCCCCUUUGGAUUUAGCGAUCAUAUCAUUGACGUAGACUUCUAUUUCUUUGUGCAUCAUGUCAUGAAACAACAUCACCAUGGCCCUCUGAUAUGUUGCCCUAGUGUUCUUUAAUCCGACCGACAUCAACUUAUAACAGAAUGUUCCCCACAUCGUUACGAAAGUAGUUUUCUCCAUAUCCUCAGGAGCCAUCUUUAUCUGAUUUUAACCUGAGAAUCCAUCCAUGAACGAAAACAAUGAAUGUUUGGCGGUGUUAUCCACCAAUGUAUCGAUGUGUGGCAAAAGAAAAUUAUCUUUAGGACUUACUCGAUUCAGAUCAUGAUAAUCCAUACACAUUCGCACGUUGCCAUCUUUCUCCGGUACUGGGACUAUGUUAGCUACCCAUUGUGGGUACUUAGAGACUUGUAGGAAGUCGAAUUAUUUCUUGACUUCUUCUUUUAUCUUUAACAGUAUUUCAGGUCUCAUUCGUCUUAGCUUCUGUUGAAUGGGUUUGCAUUCUGGUUUCAGUGGGAGCCUAUAGACCACUACAUCCUUAUCCAAUCCUGGCAUCUCCUGAUAUGACCAUGCAAAUACAACUUUGUACUCAUGAAGCAAAGUGACCAAAUCAUGUUUGGUGUUAUCUGAAAUGGAAGUCCCAAUCUUCACUUCUUGCCUCUUUUCUUCAUUUCUCAAGUUUACUAUCUCAACAGAUUCUUGAUGAGGUAGAAUCUGUUUAUCUUCUUGUUCUACCAUUCUUAGUAAGUCAGGAGAUGAGACAUAGUCUUCAGUAUUUUCCUCAGCUUCAAACUCUCCUAAACAAAUAGCCUUCUCGAAAUCGAUUUCAAGAUUUGUAACGAGUUUGUUCAUAUCGUUGAUAUCCGAGCACUUGAAAGUUGAAUGGAAAAGAAAAAUGUAGAGGAGCAUCAAAGUAUUGGGACCAACAAGCAUGGCAUGAUGUGAGAUAUAUGCAAUGAUAGGCUGUGUGAAGAGGGAAAAAAUUAUGAAUUUAAUGAGAAUGAAAGGACCAUGACAAAAUACAUCUCCAUUAAUGUUCAUUUAAAUGAUAAAGAGCAAACAUAAGCUCUUACAAAAGAAUUCCACUAUUACUUGGGGACACACAAAAUGAAUAGUGUUAACAUUGAGCAUUACUCUGGAAGAGACUUAGAAACUGCAAGGAGAUCCACAACAGUCCAAUUGUUCAAAACGAAUCCAGGAAGACAAGGGCGUAUCAUUGAAACAUCUUUAAUUGCAUCAUUUUUUUUAUCAAUGACAUUUAUACUGACAUUCGAAAGACCCCUUUCAAUUAAUAGUAGCGUGUUUCGUGGAUUAUCUUGCCCGGAGUAUAUCAUUCCUGCAGAUGUAAAUGUUUUUGACAAAGGAAGAUACGUUAUGGGCUCCCAUUCUAAUUCUCGGCCUAAGGCUCUUGCAAUCCGCCUUUCUCAAUCUUUCUAUAACUGUUUUCUUCUUUGUCGCAUAUCUGGCUGGAACCCUAAACCAUAUUGAGCCUUAUGAGGCACGGGUUUUAGAGCUCUAACUAUCCCUUGCUGAUAUCUUCCCAAACCUUUCCUCGCUCGGGCUUCCUUUAUCACAAUCAGUUUAAUUCUCAUCUUGGUAUUCCUUGACAGCUUAGGCAUAGGAAUCUUAUUUCCUUCAGCAACGAACAUAGCAUUGAUGAAUUCAAAGGAACGGAAGGAACAUUCUACUGCAUCCUUGCUUAUUUCAAGGUAUGGUGUAUCCGCAGAGAUAGAUGCAACAAUGUCUUCCUCACCUACGACAGUGACCAAAAGUCCAUCCAUGAUAAACUUCACUUUUUGAUGGAGAGAUGAAGGAACUGCCCCAGCAGAGUGGAUCUAAGGCCUUCCUAAAAGGCAAUUAUACGAAGGUAUGAUGUCCAUGACCUGAAAAUCGAUGUCAUAUAUAUAGGGGCCCACUUCUAGAGGAAUUUUAAUUUUUCCCAUGACUUCUCGUCUUGUCCCAUCGAAUGCUUUUACUAUAGAGUGAUAAGGCCUCAGAUAGGAUAAAUCAAUUGGAAUUCUAGAAAGCGUAGCCAAAGGCAUGACAUUGAGUGCUGACUCGUUAUUAAUGAGCACAUUCGGUAUUAUAUAACUCUUACAACGGGUUGUGAUAUAUAAUGCUUUUACGGAGCCCCUACCAUUUGGCGGUAUUUCAUCAUCACUAAAAGAAAUGAAAUUAUCCGCGUUCAGGUUAUUCACCCACCUAUUAAGCUUUUCGACAGAUAUAUUGCUUGCUACGUAAGCUUGAUUUAACACUUUCAGCAAAGCAUUCCGAUGUGGUUCUGAAUUCAACAGUAGGGAUAAUACUGAGAUUCGUACCGGUUGUUUGCUUAACUAUUUCACGAUGUUAUAUUCACUAUGCUUGAUGAACUUCAAGAAUUCAUGUGCUUCCUCUUCAUUCACAGGCCUUUUAACUUCUUGUUCGGAAGGAGUCUCAAGUUCAACCUCGGCCUCCUGCAUCGGUGCCUUUCCUUUCUGCUUCAAGUCAUUAGUCUUCUUUAUUGGUUCGACCACUUUAGAAUAACACCUCCCGCUACGGGUGAAAUGUCUUACUUUUCCAAUAUUUUCGGUCGUGACUUUGGAUUUUUCACCUUCAGGUAUGAUAAUGUUGACAUCAUAUUUCCAUGGUACUGCCUUGUUGUCUUUGUAAGGGAACAGAGAUGAUAAUUCAAUUAUCAUUUUUGGUUUCACUUGCUCCUUUUUUGCAUCGUAAUAAAUCACCAAUGGUCGAUUGGCGCUAUAAGGGAAACUUCAUGAUUGAUUGUUAGAAGCGCAUACUUCUCCCUCAUCGGCCUCUUUGUUAAAGAUCUCAAUCUCCUUAUUAUCCAUCAUAUCUUGAAGUAACUUUCUAAAUUCCUCACAAGACUGAAUGUCAUGCCCUUCAAUACCAUGGAAGCCAUAAAAACAUUGACUUUUUAUACUUCCUUCUUUAAAAAUUCUGCAGGGGCGACAGAACAGCCCAUUUUCAACCAUCACCUUCCAUAUCUUCUGUAAAGGUGUCUUUAUUUCAGAAACGCAGCUUUUGGUUUGCCACUUGUCUUCCUUGGUCAUUGCGUUCACAUUCCCUUCAGUAUAGUUAGGGAGCGGAUUUCCAAUUCUAUUGCUAGUACCAUUAAAUCGUAAGAUGUCUGCAUCAAUGAGGCCUUGAACCCUCCUUUUAAAUGCCAGACAAUUUUUGUAGAAUGCCCCUGGUUUCCGACGUGGUAUAUGCAACUGGCAUUAGGAUCGUACCAUUUUGGGUAUGGAGGCUUCAAGGGUGCCAUAUAAUGUGGGGAUAUUAAUUAUUUUUCCAACAGUUUUGGGUACAACUCUCCAUAUGACACGGGAAUUGGGGUGAACUGGGGUUUUUCAAGAUUGGAUCUUGUCGGUCUUUGUUCAUUUUUAGGUUGGAUUUGAGCUGGCAUGGUAUUCUGUGGGAACAUAGUGACUAGUCUUUAGUUAUUUGUGGCGUAGACGGGGUAAGAAGGGUAAUGAGGUGGUGCUUGAUAGUAAGGGCUUUGGGGAGGAUAAUAGAAGUUUGGAGGUGGGCGAUAUCGAGGUCGUGACUGGGUUGGAUACGGAUUAGAAGUGUAGUAAUUCUCAGUUCCCACCAUAUAGGCUUCUGCCUCUUUUUUCUUUACAAGUGCUGCCAUUUUCGAGCUCUCGGAACCUUCCAUCUUUCCAGUUUUGAUGGUAUUUUCUAUAAGUUCCCCGGAUAUUACAAUAUCUGCGAAGUCUUUCGUGGCACUUCCUACCAACUUAUCAUAAAACGGUACUUUCAAAGUGUUGAUGAAGAGGACCGUUAUUUCAGUUUUGGUCAAUGGGGGUUCUACUUGGGCCGAGAUAUCCCUCCAUCUUUGCGUGUAUUGCCUAAAAGUCUCCGUUGGCUUCUUUUCCAUCAUCUGCAGAGUUAGUCGAUCAGGCACCAUGUCGGAUACAUACUUGUAUUGUUCACAAAAUGCUAAUGCCAAGUCUUUCCAUGAUUAGAUCCUUUCUCUACUAAGUUGAUUAUACCAUCAAAGGGCUGAUCCGACCAAGCUAUCUUGGAAACAGUGUAUUAGCAAUUUAUCUUCAUUCACGUAACCAGUAAUCUUCCGGCAAAACCUGACAAGGUGUGCCUUUGGACAUUUCGUUCUAUCAUAUUUUUCAAAAUCGAGCACUUUAAAUUUUGGAGGCAGAACCAGAUCGGGCACCAAAUUGAGCUCUUUGGCACUCAAUGCAGAGAAGGCUUCAGUACCUUCUAUCGCUUUAAGUCUUUCUUCCAAACUCCUAUACUUAUCUUGAACAUCAUGAUCAUCUAUUUUCAACCUGGCUAUUUCUAUCGGGUCAUCCAAAUCUGAAACAUUGGGAUCAGCAAGAUUAGCUCCUGGGUUUGAUACGAAUGUACCUUGACCUAGAUGAGUAGGUGGUACAAUUUGUUGCUCGAGGCUUGUAGGUUCCCUUUGAGGAUAUUCUCUUUGCGUUGUGUGUGCAUGAGGUGGAGUGAAUCCUGGGGGAUAGAGUGGAUCCUGAUCAUGAUUAGUUCUUGGCUGAGGCUCCAUAGUGUCAGGGUUCUGUAUAGGUUCCUUUCCUUUGACCAAAGCUGUAAUCAUUUCCAUCAUUUUGGCCAUCUAAUCUCUUUGUUCGAGCGAUUCCUCUCGAGAUCUUAACAUCAAAUCUCUUGCUUCCUGUUGUGACUUGGUCAAUUACUCUUGCAAUUCUCUUUGGGCCCUUUUCAUCCUUUCAAUUCUUUCAUUGAACUAGGCUUCCAUAAAUCUAGCUUUUCGGCGCGUCCUAUAAGAAUGGCGUGAUUUUAGACUUGUAGUGUCACAACUGCGGAUUAUACAGUUUUAGCCACAGUGAAUGAUUAUGGUGAUAUGUACAUGCAAUGAAUGAAUGAAUGAAUGAAUGAAAAAUGAAUAUUGAAUAAAUGACGAAUGAAUGUUAGUCAUGAAUAAAUAUGCAAGAAUUUGGUGUUGAUUUCAAGAUAGCCCCAUACUUAGGCAUUUCAUUUAUCAAAAGAGUCUAUUACAAAACAUUUCGCCAUUUUUUUUAUUCAACAGUUACACAAAUUUCCUAGCCACAUUGCCUUGUUUCUUCCCUCGCUCUAAGAACUCUGACAUGUUUGAUCUUUAGCUCGGAGGGAAUUGGCAACUGAAAGCUUCGGCUUCAUCUGAUAAUUGCACAACUUGCAUAGCUGCCCUGCGAAUUUCAUUGAUCAAAAAGCCGAGUUGCAUUUCUUUUUCUUGGAGAGCUCUUUCAUAAGUGUGAGUGUCUCCGUCAUACUGAUCAUUCUUUUCUUCUAGAGCUUUUAGAAGAGUAUCUAACUAUUGCUGAUGAGAUUGCAGCAUAUUUUCUAGAUCUUGUAUUUUCCUUCUUAGCUUUUGACGUUCGGACUGACUAGUCACAAAUUCUGCAGUCACAGUUUCAUACUCAACAUUCUUCUUUUUUAACUCUAUCAUAGUACGCGCAGCUUUUUCCUCUUCUUUCUUUGCUUUCCCUUUCCAGAAUUCUAUCCCUCCUUUGAUGUUGCUAAUUUCUUCCUUCCAUUCUGCUGACGACUUGCCUAAACCACUAUUUUUUAUAGUGUUUCUUAAUUUCUUAUUUUCCAAAUGAAGGUCCCUUAAGUCGUUUCUCAUGAUCUCAACUUCUUUUUGAACUUUCAUGGUUUUGGAUUCUUCAAUUUGAACCCUGAUCUUCAGCUGGUAGUUUUCCUCUUGAAGAGAACUAAUAUCCCGUAACAGCUUGGCCUUUUCACGUUCAAAUUCAUGUCUUGCUACUUCCAGCUCGGAUGGCAUUUUUUUUAAGAAAGGAUUCUAGAAAGUGUAACUUGUCGGUGAGAUUUGUUGACUAUUCACUCGUCGUUUUCCCCAUAAGCCAUAAUCCUGAGUGAUAGUAUCAGCAUAAAGGGCUAACUCCAUUAGGUGAAUUUCCUUCCAAGACUUUGCAGUAUCUCAAAUUCUUUUCAUGUAGCCUUCACCCGUAAAGGCGAACUCUGAUUGUGCCAAUCCUUCAGUAGCGGGUAUGAACUGUCGUGAAGCAAAUUAUCUUUGAACCAUUAACGGAGUGUAUCCAAUUCCUCCCCAUAAUCCUAGUAAAGACACCCAAUCUUGGCUUCUGCAUUUAUAUAUCAGAAUUGAAGGAAGAAUCCAUGGUGCUCUCCAGGUUAUCUCUUCAGCGCGAAGGUUUUGAAAAACCAAAACCCAGUUCUGCUCGGUGACAUCUUUCGGCCAAUCUUUCUCAAAGUAAGCCUUUAAUGGGGCGAAUGUUUUUUGAGAACAUGUGGAAAGGUGUGUGCUCUACUUUCCAGAAAUGGCUCAGAAUCCAGACAUUAAGCAACUGCGCGCAUCCGAUAAAACGCCCUUCCCCUUUUCUGCUACAACUACUCAGAGAUCUAAAAGUCUCGGCCAAGAUAGUUGGAAUGGGGUUGAUCCCUUGACCCAACCUUUCGAAGAAAUCCACUACCGCGACUUCUACAUGCCCCAAAACCUUUGGGAAGACGACCAAUCCGUAAAUGGCCAAAGCAAACAGAUUCAUUCUCUUCGCAAUAUCUGGAUGAUUUUGAACUAAGUCUCGCAGAGAAAACCAUGGAACACAACUGACUUCAUUCUUUUUCUUUAUCUAUUUUUCAGCCCAUAUAUCAGUCAUUACGGUCAACCUCACUAGCUUUUUCUUGAAGUUCAUUGGCUUAGGCUCUUUCACAUACAUCUUGUUGAAUUGUACAUUGUCAACACGAAGCAAAGCAGCAUAUUCUUCUAUGGUCGGAGUCAUAUCUUCCUGAUUGAAAGUAAAGCACUGGUAAGCUGGGUCCCAAAAUCGAACCAUGGCUUGAAUUAACUGUUCGUCUAUGUUGAUGGUGAUCAAGUGAGCUAUAUCCCCGUACUUUUCAGUGAAAAUCCCCCUAGUAUCUGAGUCUCACUGUUUCCAAAUCUGAGUCAAGUCUUCGAGAUUAUUCUGACGAACAUUUGUAGCUACUUGCUCGGGAAGAUUAGAGAUACAUCCUUCCGUUAAACUAUCCCCUUUCGCUUUCUGAGUCUUCAAAGACCAGUCUCGAACCACGCCAUUUUUCUCGGUUACUUGUGUAAUUGACUCCUCCAUCAGAAACCCGUUUUUGGCAACCAAUCUCUAAUCAACACCUUCCUAAUCAAGAUGCCUAUGAUGCAUGAUGAAAAAUAAAAAUAAAGACAAACAACCUUGGUUAGUAAUCACAACAAAUAUAAACUGAGAAAAACUAUGGAAAUUUCAACAAAUUAAGCUACUCAGUUUAAUUCUUUUGCAUAAACAGUGUAAAUGUAAAGGAAAUGAAAAUCAAGAGGCGUUUCUCCCGCGUACUUAUUUUGGUGACUAUUAAACAGACAAAGGUUCGGCAUGGCUCUAAUUAGGUGGCUCAUAUGGUUCACUAUAUGCGAUUUCGGUUCUAGAUAGGUACUCGAAUUGUCCGUACUGUCAUCUGCUAAGAUUAGUACGAAGCCUCGGUCAUUGCCUAUCACAGGCUUACGAGUUCAGUUCGAGGGAUCACAUUUACUUAUGCCUAUGCGGAGGGACAAGUUAACUCACGAAAGCAUAAGUCAUAUGUAACCCGAAAGUAUUCACUAGCCUGUGCGGAGGGACGAGUUAACUCACGAAGGCAUAGCGUUUACUUUCACUUAAACAGACGGAGCCCAGGUAGAAAGCUUAUGUUAUGCAAAAAUGCAAGUGAUCAGUGUAUGGGGAAAAACUCACAAACCUUUUCGUUUUUAUUUAAAACUAAAAGAAGCUAAAACUAUAAAGACUUAAAGCUGAAAAGAAAAGGAUAAAACAAGUUAGAGAAAAUACUUACAACAUGAUGCAAAUGCAUGAUUUUUUGAAAACAAAAUUUGAGGAUCACGACUAAAUAUUAAUUUGAACAAGGAAAUUUGAAAUUUUUGACAACACGCGUUUAAUUCAACUCGACUCUCAAAAAUAAGUCCCCAGUGGAGUCGCCAGCUGUAGCGACGUAAAAUUUUUUCUUUGGUCGCUAAUUGAGGCGAUUUAUUGAAAAUUUGAAAAUCGACUUUCGAUUUUAUUUAAAAAGGGAGUCACCACCGAUCUUUUUUCCUAGGUGUGAUCGGACACCUAAUAAAUCCUCUUUUUUUAAAAGAAAAUUUAUUUUUUAAACAAAAAGAAGGCCGAGGUUAGGUCUACGCGAAAAUCCAGAGAAAAAAAGGGUUUGGGAGUCGGUUAUGCACGAGGAAGGUAUUAGCACCCUCGCGACGCCCAAAAUUGGUAUCUUGUUAAACAUGUGUUGUCUUAAUUUUCGAAAAUGCGAGUUCAAUGUAACAUUUAAUCAUGAUUCGAUCAAAACACGAAAAUUUUUAUAAUUUCGAUUUCUUUUGACAAGGAUGUUCCGUUUUUAACACGAGACGAUGAUAUUCACCCAACAUAGCGAUGAAAUCAACGACUUAAUGGUAAAUCGGCACGUUGCCUUAUUUAUUGAAAUUAAUAAAAAAUGAAUAAAAUAAUUCUUAAAAUAAAAAUUCAUAAAUAAAUAAACGGUGCAAACAAUGAUAUAAUGAAUGAAAAAUAUUAACAUAUAAUAUAAGAGCAUUAGGAUAAAAAUAAAAACAAUAUUUACAAUAAAAAGAAAAUAAUAAUAAAAAUAAUGAUAUGCUAAUAAUAUAAUAAGAAAAGCAAACUGAUACAGAAUGGUAAGAACAAAACUAAAAGAGUUAGAAAUACAUCGAAGCAAAUAAUAAAUACGACAAUGAUAUUAAAAACAAUAACAAUGCAUGCGAUAUUAAACGUAAUAAUAGUAUUAAACACGAAAUAAAAACAAUGAAUAUAUAUAUACAUAUAAUAAUAGUUAGUAAAGUGAUGGGAACAUGAUAUUAAAAACAAUAAUAAUGUUACCUAUAUACAUAUGUAUAUAUUAAAAUAUAAACAUAAUAAUAGUAUUAAAAAGCAUAUACAUAGUAUUAACAAUAUAUACAUAAUAUAGUUAUUAAAAAAUAUAUACAUAAAACAAUAUGUAAAAAAAAUAUAUAAAUAAUAUAGUAUUAAAAAAUAUACAUGAUAUAUAUAAAAUAUAAUAUUAAAAAGAUAUAUAUACGUAAUAUAUAUAAAAAAUGUAUACAUAAUAUAGUAUUAAAAUAUUUACAUAAUAUAUACAUAUUAGAAAUAAUAAUGUUAAAAACAACUAUCAAUAAUACUACAUAAAUAUAUACAUAUAUAUAUAUUAAAGAUAUAUACAUAUAUAAUAAAACACAUACUAAUAUUAAUAACAAAUAUAAUAGGGGUAAAAAUAGACACAAUAAUAAUAUGUAUAUAACGUGGUAUUAAAAAUAUGUGUAUAAUAUAGUAUUUAAAUAUAUAUACAUAAUAUAUAUAUUAGGAAUAAUAAUAAUAUAAAAAAACAACUAUAAAUAUAUACAUAAUAUAUAUAUAAGUAUUAAUUGAAACUAAAAAAUAAUUCUAAUAAUAGUAAAAAUAUACUAAUAAUAAUGAUAAUAACGAUAAUAGUAAAUAUAAUAAUAAAUAAUAUUAAAAAUAAAAAAUGGUAAAAAUAAUAUAAAAAAACAAAUUAAAUCUGGAAAAGGGACUAAAUUCGAAACAAAAAUAAAGUUUUGGGGCCAAUUUAAAAAGAAAUAAAGGGAAAGAGAUUAAUUUGGAUGCACGCAAAACAAAGGACUAAAAAAGCAAUUAUUCCUCCCCUCAAAACGCAACACAGUAAAAGGGACUAAAUCGCAAAGCGCUAUAUACUUUGGGCCCAAAUUAAAAGCACAAUAAAUCUAAUUGCAAAACCAUAAAAAAGCAGAGGGGCUAAAAGUGCAAUUAGCCCCUCCAAUGAAAAACACGCGGAUCCUUGGUGGAGCGGGUCAAAUCGGGUCGGGUCAGGCAAAACGACGUCAUUUUGGGGUUUAAUGGCCAACCCCAAAACGACGUCGUUUUGGGGGCUAUUUAAAUCCGAUUUCUUUUAAAAAAUUCAUUCUUCUUCUGUUCUAAAAAGAAAUUUCUCUCCUCCUCUCAUUUUCCUCUGCAGAGACCCUCAACGCCGGUGAAGACUCCGGCCAGUCACCACCGUCGGCCACCGAAGGUAAAUUUUUAAAAUUUUUUUAUUAUGUUUAUAUAUAAAUAUGUAUAUACUGUUUUUUUUUAAAAAAAAAGAAAAAAAAUAUAUAUGUAUGUAUAGUCGAAUACUGAAAAUAAAAAAGGAAAAGAGAUGAGACCUUAGCCUUUGGAAUCUGUUUUUUUUUCUCUUCAAUACUUGCUGGAUUUUCUUUGUUUUUUUAAGACUAUUAUGUGCUAAAAAUGAGAUUUAUUGUUUUAUUGCUUCCUCCAAAAAAUCUCACCUCUUUACAUGAUUUUUGAAUGGCCUUUUCAUAGCCAUCCUUUUACAAGUUGUUGUUUUUUUUUUAAUCUUUCUAUCACUUCUGUUGCAGGUGGAUGAGGUCAAUGGUGGCAGAGUUGGUGGUGGCAGGUGGAGCAGGUGGCUGACAAGGCUAGGGCGGCGGCAUGGCAAAGGCAGUGGCAAGGGUUUUCUGAUUUGUUUUGUGUAUUAAGGUUUUGGGUUGGCUUAGUGGACUUAGGGUUUUUAAUUAUUUGGGUAUUUUAAUUUGAGUUAGGGUAGGUUAGUUGGGUUUAUUUUAUUUUAUUCAAAAUUAGGCCUCAACAAUUAUGUUUAUAAUUUGAAUUAUGGUAAUACCACUGAGUAUAAAAUACUCAAUGUACGGUUAUUUCCGUAUGCAAGUUAAUAGGUGUUAAGGGUCUUGGUUCAGCAUCCAGGCGAUCCCGAUUCCAGCGCAAAACUCAAUUAUGUAUUUUUCUUUUGGUAAAAGUGGCAUGUACAUAGGUGUUAUUUUGGUCACUUUAAAAUACUAUAUGAUUUUUGUUGUAAAGAAUGAUAUUUGGUAUUUUGGUGUUUAAACUAAUGAAAUGGUAUGAAAAUUUAUAUGAUAUACAUGAUAUAAUUGGUGUUAAAUUUAGAAUGGAAUGAAUGAAAUUCUAAUUUAAUUUUUAAUGGUAAUAUAAAUGUUCAUAGAGUAAAUUAUCAAAUUAAUGUUAUAGGUAUGAUUUUAAUACGAUUAAACAUGAAAUUGCAUUGGUUGAAAUAUUGGUUUUGAAUUGGUCCCGGAUUGAAAUUGCAGGGAAGGUUAGAUAUUUAUAAAAGGGUUAUAUUGAGUUAAAAAAAAUAUCCUCGUAGCACCCGAACAAGUCCAAAUUCCCCUCUAAUAUGUAUUUUGGGCCUUAAGGGUCCAAUCAAGAGACUUUAUAAUUAUUUUAUAAUAUAAUAUGUUCGAUAAUUAUUUGAAUAUUAAUCGUAAAUUGUUUGAUUGUCCGGUAAUGCCUCGUAACCCUGUUCUAGUGACAGUUUAGGGUUAGAGGGUGUUACAGUCUCACUCAAAGAAUGAUUUUAUUAACCAUUAACAUAAUAGAACUCUUGAAUUAAGUCCAAUUUGCCCUCAGACCAGUAAAUAAUUGCAGCUUCAAAGUUGAUCCCAAUUAUUACAAUCACUCUCCUAAAACCUCAUAAUACAAUCAAUUAAACUCUUCAAAGAAUGUCUGAGAAAAGAGUGUCAAAAUACUGAGUACAUGAUUAACUUUAUGGUAAAUAAAUCUCCUAAAGUAAAUCUGAUCAACAAUUUAUCCUUUAAGAUAUCAAGAAGUUCUGAUCGAAGUAAAACUUUUAAUUCAAGUCAAAAUUGUCACCUCAAUUGGAUAACGAUAAACUCUUUCAAAUAUAGUUUUUGUUUGUUCACAAAAACAUGUCCAAUGUAUCCUCUAUUUGCUACUUAAUUGGAAAUAUUUAUAUCUUAUCCUUGUACAAGUCAAAAUUGCCAACAAAAUAGGAUAUACUUUAUAUGUAUAAAAUCUUUUAUUAAAGAGUCAAUGAAUAGUUGGCUUGGAGGGGCGUAGUUAGGGGCUGGCAGGGUUCUGGCCCCCUUAAAAUGAAAUUUUUUUAUUUAGGCCAUUUAAAAUUUUUAAAUAAAGGUAAAAUUACACUUUGUCCUUCUAAAAAUAAUAAAAUUUGAUUUAACCCUUUAAAAAUUAUAAAUUCUAUUCAAAUGGUGAAAUUACAUUUUUUUUACAAUAUAAUUUCGGCCCCCUAGAAAAAUUUUCUGACUUCGCUCUUGUUUACUUGGACAAUUCGACUUCUUAUUUUAAUUGGAUAGAACUUCUUAUUUUAAUUGGAUAGGAGAAUAUAUAUCAAUUUUAUUUUUAAUAAAAAUGUGGGAUUUUGAGAUUAUGCACUUGAUUUUUUUUUAUAAAUAUUGUUUUAAACCUAAAAUAAAAUUAAAUGAGGCCAUUGUGAUGAUAUCGUAUAAUCAGAUCGCUAGCUAAUGGGAACACCCAUAAUUUGAGGCAAUAUUGUGAGAUAGAAACGGUCUCUCCCUACACUCAAGCUCUUCCUUCCAUGCCUAAUAACUGAAGCUUUCCAUUUGUGACAUGGGACACUACUAUUAUUUCGGGUCACCAGAUGACCAUUUCUUAACCCUUUCCAUGUUCCAACAACCAAGGACCACGACCACUUCAAAAACCUACCCGCCCCCUUACACUCUCUUUUAGCCUUUGCAUCCUUCCUUCAUUUUUGAUUUUUUUUUCAACAAAAUCAAAAACCAAAAGUGGACCAAUAGUUGCAGACACAUCAUGUCUUUCCCAUGGCGUCCUUUGAUUUCAUGACUCUUUUCUUCUGUCUUCUUAUCCACAGACAUUGAUCAUUAUUAUUAUUAUUCUCGUUAGCUGUCUCUCCUCGACAACGCUUUGAUGUUUGGUACUGCAUUUUGAUGUUGUGUUGGAUGAGCAGUUGAUGUCUUUGGCCGUUGGAGCUGGUCCAAGUUCCAGUAAUAUGGAUGACAAAGCGGGCUCUGCUGAAAAAACGACCACCAACCACCGUCCAGAGAGCGAUGAUGAUAACGAAGAGGAGAAUCGCAAUUUGCAUUUGGGUCCUCAGUACACUCUCAAAGAACAGCUUGAAAAAGAUAAGGUUAAAUCUUCUUUUUUUUUUUUUUUUUGGUUUACACACACACAUAUCCAUUACAUUUUACAUGCAUGCAUGAAUGCCUAUAAUUUUACUAUCAUUAUUCUAUGUUGGUGAUCGUUGCGUGAGUGUAGGAUGAUGAGAGCUUAAGGAAAUGGAAAGAACAGCUUCUUGGAGGUGUGGAUAUUAACAACAUUGGAGGUACUUAUUAUGUUUAGUUAGAUUGUGUGUAUAUAUAUAUGAGCUAAUUUUAAAGAAUUUGCAGAAUUUGACAUGGAAAUAAUGGUCUCCAUUUUAUUACAGAAACACUUGAACCGGAAGUGAAGUUCCUUAGUGUGGCAAUCGUGUCACCAGAUAGGGAAGACAUAGUUCUUUCAAUCCCUGCAGAUGGAAAGCCCGAGGGUUUAUGGUUUACACUGAAAGAAGCUAGCCAUUAUCGCUUGAAGUUCUCUUUCCAAGUUAGCAACAACAUUGUAUCUGGUCUCAGGUACACCAACACUGUCUGGAAAACUGGCGUCAAAGGUAAACAUUAAUUCUAAACCCUCUCAAUAAGUAAUAAUAAUUCACCCCCCAAAACUGUUUCCAACAUAAUAAAAUUCAAUCCUUUUCUUUUGGGGUUUCAGUUGACAGCACAAAAGAUAUGAUUGGAACUUUUAGUCCUCAGUUAGAGCCUUAUACACAUGAAAUGCCCGAAGAGACAGCCCCUUCUGGUUUUUUGGCUAGAGGAUCAUACACUGCAAAAUCAAAGGUUUGUAUGAUAACAUACUUUUAUCCGACAUUGAUUAUGUCUAAAUUCGAGUGACAUAGUAUGUUGUAAUGGUUUCAGUUCCUUGAUGAUGAUAACAAGUGCUACUUGGAGAUCAACUAUACAUUUGAUAUCCGAAAAGAUUGGGCUGCUACUGAAUAAUAGAUCAGCUCCAAGAACCCUUCAUUCAAUGCUUCAUGUUCUUAUUAUGCUUAUAUAUAUAUAUAUAUAUUCACUUUCAGACAAUUUUCAAGCAGCUAGUUUUUUCCCAAAAUAAACGCAAGUGAUGAGAGAUGACAAGAUUUUCACUUGAUUAGCAUUUUUUGGUAGGGACAUUUUGAUAAUUAAUGAUGUCUAGAACUUUGGAUGUUGUUCAUGUUCUGUUCUUGCAUUCCAUCUAUGUGCAUAUAUAAGAAAUGAGUGAUCAGUCAUUGAUUUUUUCUUUUUGUCUUGUUUUAUAUCAUCAAACUGCUCUCUCUUUUUUUUUUUAUUACUCAUCAACAUGAUAUACUUCAACCCAAACUAAAUCUCAAUUAAAAUUUCAUUCAAUUAAAAUUUAAAAAUACAAAGAAAACCUACUUUGCCAUUAUCCUAAUAAAAAGAGAUAGGGAUGACGUGGAAUCAUAAUUUCAUACAAUCCAUUCUUUGAUCCCUAUAUAUACUAUCAAGUCAGAUAAAUGUUAUAAUUGAAAUAAAUACAAUAAUUAAUAUCUAUUUAACAUUUAAUUUAUGUUUUUAUUAAAUAAUUCAAUUAGAAAGAAAUCCAUAAAUCACACCCAUCUUGUCAAUUUUUAUGUUAGUAUUUUUUUGAAACAAAAUCUUUAAGGCGUAAAUUUUGUUGAUAUUGCAGAAGUAUGAUAACUCAUAUGAAUGACGAUCUAUUUGAAGCAACAUAUUUUAAAAAUUAGAUUAGAUCGGAUCAAGCAAUCUAAUCCUUUGAAAUAAAGAAUUUAGAUUGGGACUGCAUUGAAGACUUAUAUCGAACAAUUCUAUUUUAUCUUGGAUUUUAUUAAUAUAUUGGGUAUGUUAUUUUAAUUGCAAUUUUUUAAAGAAAAUUUAUUGUAAUUGAUCUACUAUUUUAACAAAUCUCAAAGUCUUAUAUAUUUGAAGAAAUUUGUAUGAGUUUUGUAUUGAAAGUUUAUAACACUUAUUCAUUGAGAAACUUGUUAUGGAAGGUGCAUUGAGAAUAUAAACAAGUUUAUUGUUUGGUUCACAGUUUAAGCUUUCAUGAGAAAACUUUAGAAGUGAGUGAUCUAGAUUUAGAUAUAAAAGUGAAGUUUAUAUAUCAAGCUGUGAUAGGACUUAGAUCCAUGGCGGUUGGUUUCGUUCCGGUACCAAUUGUACCAGUUGAUAUACUAUAUCAAGCUGUGAUAGGUCUUAGAUCCAUGGCGGUUGGUUUCGUUCCGGUACCAGUUGUACCAGUUGAUAUACUCCGUUUCGAACGUAAACUGGAGCAAUAUAAUAUAUGAUUCAUUAUGUCUCAAAGUUUGGCCUAUUUCACCUGUACUGACAUAUUCCGACCUGUUUUGUCUGUUGCGACCGAAAAAGACGAACUGGCUACGGUAAGAGAAAAGAAAAAGAAGGAAGAAGAGAGAAAAGAGAAUAAAAAAAACAAAAUUAAAAUCUCAUAUGGAAAAACAAAACAUCUCGGCAGAUAAGUUUUGGGAUUUUACAAGCUUAAAAAUAAUAUUAAUUUAAUCUACAAAUUUAAUUUAAAUAAGAAUUAUAUUAUCUUUUAAUAUAUAUAUUGAUAAUAACUAAAAUUGUUAAUAAAUGAAUAAAUAAAAUUUAUUUUUAUAAAAAAUAUUAUUUUAUUUAUUAUUAGUAAUAAAUAAUAGUAUGAUACCUUUCAAAAAAUAGUAUUAUAUGAUAUAUUUACUAGUACAUAUAAAAUUAAACUAAUAAUUAUACAAAAAAUAAAGGUAAAUACAGAACGGUAUACCAAAACAUACUGGUAUUAAUAUGUAUCAGUAUCAAUAGAAAAACGGUACAUCUACCAUACGGUACUGACUACCUUUCUUAAACCACUUGUUGUAUUAGGAUUAAAGACAGUGUGUAACACCCCAAACCCGGCCCAGACGUUAUGACCGGAUCCGACAUGCCACAUCGAAGCGUUCAAAACAUUUUAUAUUGUUGAUCCAGAAAAAACUUACUUAGUGUUUUAAAAGAUAAUUUCAUUAUAGGUUAAAGUGAAUGGAAGUUGUGCACCAGGUAGGAAACCGGAAAAGAGGUGGUGAGUCCAUCGGACUGCUUAAGUACCAAGCUCCCUUCGGAUCCAAUCCUAGACAUGCAUACCGCUAUUGCCACACCUUAACGUCAUGGAUAUUUCUAGGAAACUGAUUUUGAUUAAGUCAUUUUUAGGAAAAGUGAUUAAUUUUGGAAAAUACUUUCAUUGCGGAAGCUUUGCUUGUUGUCGUAUUAUUUUGAAAUCAAUUGUUGUUUUUGAAAACGCGCCCUAAAGCUUUCCAACUUCAACAGUUAAAAUAAGUAAUACUUAUCUUAGUAACACAUAUUAACACCAUAAAAAAUAAUUAAGCGGCCUUAUUACAUUUAAAAACCUAAAACUUCAAACGUAAAAAAAAGGAUGUCCAGUUCACCAGAAGAAAAUCAAACUUUCAGAACGGGUGGCCACUCCGAAUUCCCUCACAGCUCCAAGCCCACUAUGGUUGGGGAUUACCUGCGUGGAUGAAAAUAAAAGGGGUGAGUUUGGGGAAACUCAGUGUGUAAGGAAAACCCAUUCAAAACCCAAGUCAGCUCAAGCCCAUUCAGGUAACAGUGAUACUGGGCCAGAGCCCUUUUCAAAUUACAAUAAACUGGGCCUUAGCCCCUUAUUCAGAUAACAGUAUGGCCCAUAGGCCCAUUUCAAAAUACAUGCAACAUCAGUAAACAUAUGCAAGCCCAUUUGGGGAGACUACUCAAUCCACCAACCACUACACUCCACCCAUACCAGCCAUACACUCCAUGUGGGGAAUAGCUCAACCCACCCAGCCCAACACUCCACAGUUGCAGCCUUGCUGCUCAGUUAACAGUAAGUUGAGGCAAAGCCCCUUAUUCAGAUAACAGUAUGGCCCAUAGGCCCAUUUCAAAAUACAUGCAACAUCAGUAAACAUAUGCAAGCCCAUUUGGGGAGACUACUCAACCCACCAACCACUACACUCCACCCAUACCAGCCAUACACUCCAUGUGGGGAAUAGCUCAACCCACCCAGCCCAACACUCCACAGUUGCAGCCUUGCUGCUCAGUUAACAGUAAAUUGAGGCAAAGCCUCCAGUACGUGGACAAGCCAUUUUUAGUACUUCCUCCGUCAAUAUCCCAAUCCCAUGCAUCAGAUAAUAACAACAUGGCAUGCAGUAAAUAACAACAGUCAAACAUGCAUUUAAGUCAAUUUAACCCUAGGGGUAUUUCGGUAAUUUAUCUCCUAGGGGUAAAACUGUAAAUUUUCCACUUUUAAAGGUAUUUCAGUAAUUUAUCUAUUUUAGGGUUUUUCAUGCAUAUUUCUACCUUUCACGUACUACAGAAUCACGUACCGAGGGUUCUUACCAAAUUGGGCCCGUUGGCCCAUCAUUCCAAUUUUGGCCCAUUAAGCCCAAAAAUAUCGAGGGCACAGAAAUCAUGCACUUUGUAGUCCAAAUUUUGCAGCUUACCAAAAACAUUAAUCGAUUUACCUCAGGAGCAUUCGCACACUCGCAAAUCUACAAAAUACCGGUUUUUGGCAUUUCAGCUUUUCGACUUUUGCCGAUCCAGACUAAGAAAGAGGGUGUUAGUUACACACCUGUUUGCGAUGAUAUGCUGACGAGAUCCACACACGAACUGCCUACAAUUGGAUUACUAACACGUUAAUCUAACUAUUCAAAUACGAACUACGUAUUAACCCCUUACAAUAUUCGGCCAACCACACCUACAGAUCAUAGUAAGCUUAUAAGAAAUCAAUAAGCAACUUAUUAACAAUUUUUUGUCAAUGUUUACCACAUAAUCAUAAUUUCACUGCAAGCUGUCUUCCUGAGCAACAGUUACUAAAUCAUUUAUAACUGGAGCUACGAAACUCCAAAUCAAGUGCCAUUAAUUUUCCCUGAAAAUAGACUCAUAUAUCUUAUAUCCAUAAAAUUUUCAGAAUUUUUGGUUUGGCCAAUCAAUACCAGAUUUUUCUUAAAGUUUCCCAUGUUUCACUAUUUGACUAAUCUGACCACUCUUCAUUACGAAUCAAAUUUCUCAUUGUACAGAAUUCAAAAUAUGUUCUAGUUUAUUUCAUUUGAAACUAGACUCAUUAAGCUUUAAUUACAUAAUUUAUUCACCGUCUAACUCAUCUCUCACAAUCUAUGGUGAUUUUCCAAAGUCACGUUACUGCUGCUGUCCCAAGCAGAUUUAUUACCAAAUCACUCUUUCACACAUAACUUGCAUGCAUGUUAUUUAAACAUGUAUAUCACCAAUCAAUCAUCACAUAUCUAUGAUUUUACUUAAGUAUAAUCUCCAUUUCAUCAUUUUAAAGCACAACAUGUUAGCCGAUUUUUCCCUUUAACAUUUAAGGCACAUGCAUGCUCAUUUGUUUGGCUCAACUUCACCUAUUUUCCAUUUUUCAUCAAAAGAACAUGAAACAACAACCAUUUCCUUCAUUUUAAUUCAUGACUAAAUGCUCACAACACAACUAAAAACCAAAAUAUGCUUCAAGAGUUAAGGUAGAAUCAAGAAGAACUCAUGAACAUCAAAUAGAAGCAAACUACCAUGAACUUACCUUUAAUUUUCUUCCCCAAGUGACCGAACAUUCAAGAGCUUUCUCCUCUCCUUUCUCUUCUCUAACUUUAGGCUAUGAUGAACAAAGAUGGACAAAACUUUGUUCUUUUCACCCCUUUUUCUUUUAAUAAAAUUUCAUAUUUCAUCCAUUUAAUUCUUUAAUACAAAAGACAUGAAAUUCCAAUCAUGGAACAUUUACCUAACCCAUUAUCAUGAAACAUUUACCUAACCCAUUAUCAUGGAACAUUUACCUAACCCAUUGUCAUGGAACAUUUACCUAACCCAUUAUCAAUUUGUAUCAAUUUGUACCAUAAAUUAUGGAUAUCAAGUGCACAUUUUGUCUACAACAACAUGAUGGCUGGCCACUUCAUGUAAAAUGGGAGGUUUGUCAUGCAAAUCCUCCUAUUUUACACUCCUAUUUAUUUGGCCACUUCAAUUUAGCCUAUAGCAUUUUCAAACAUUUUCACAUAGGUUCUAUUUCAUAAUUUCACCCCCUUUUUCUUAUGGAACAAAAAUUAACUAAAAUUGACGGGUUCUAUCUUAAGCUUGGGCCUUCUAGAGGCCCACUAACAUAAUUAAAUCUAUGCCAACAUUCACAGAAUUCCCGAAAAUUGGGGCGUUACAUAGUGAAUUAUCUCUCUGAGUUAAGCUGUAAAUAUAAAAAAAUCAAAUCGCGUAAACAACUCAAUUAUGUUUUUCUUAUUUCAAAUAUAUAUUCAUAUAUAAUCUUUUAUGUUAAAACUUAUAGCAAAUAAUUACAAAUAAAAUAAGUUAAACAAAAUAAAGUGCUAGCUCUAGUGGUCACUGAAAGUGGAACGAGAACAAAUAAAAACUUUAAUUACUACAUGUAAUUAAAUAACAUGUGCCUUAGUAAAGAAAAACUUUGCUAACUAUGAGGUAUGCUAUUGUGGCUGCUCACCUCAUCUUUUAAUUAGGGUGAGCAAAAUUUGUUUUAAUUUGAAAAAUUAGAUAAAAAAAUUCAAAUUUUAAAUUAAAUAGUUUGAGUUAUUCAAGUUAUUCAGAUCAAUUCGAAUAAAAAAUAAAAUUGUUCAGUUCAACUUGAAUAUGAAUUACACAAUUCAAGUUAUUCGAAAAUUCGAAUAAGAAAAGACAAAACUACGUCGUUUUGAUAAAUGUUUAUCCAUUAAGUUAAAAGUUAAAAAUCAUUAUGUUGUUUAUGUAGUUAAAUAAUCUUCUACUUCGUCUACUAGUUAAACAAUCGGUCUAUAUAAACGCAACAUUGAGUAUAAAUAAUAGAAUUCGUUAACUCAUCUCGAAAUUUUUUCAUUCGAUUCGAUUUGAAAAAAAAUUCAAAUUUAGUUCAGUUGCUAAAAUAAGAUUCACCAACUCGACUAACUCGAAAUUUUUUUACUUGAUUUGACUCAACUUGAUCGAAUACUCACCCCCUACUCUUAACCAUGUCAUUUGAGGUUUGAUUCCCGCUUAUAAGAAUGAAACACAUUUCAUGAUUAACCAUUUAUCUCUUUAAAAAACACUCGUAAUAAAUAAAUUAAUCAUUAUUAUCGACAAUAAAUACCCUAUUUAUGAAAACAAACUCGAGCCUUGAUAAAGAAUUAAAGUGAUUGAGUAUACUGUGGUUCAAAUGAAAGACAAUUGCAGAAGCAAAGCCUUUGUGUUUGGGCUGCCUUAAUUGUUUCUUAGGAAAGCAGAAAUGUAUAUACAUGUGUGUGAUAGAGGGCAUGUCAUUGAAAAAGAUAUAUUAUAGCACCCAAAGGCAUCCCACGCAUUUCACAAGUAUUGAUAUCAUUGUGGAGCGCACAAGUGUCGUUUUAGUUUUUACUCAUCAAUAAAUUUACAUGAUAUUAUAAAUAUGAUAAUAUAUUUAUUUUAAAAGAUUUUAAAAAUAAUAAUAUUUAAUAUUUAACUUAACGGAUUUAAUUAUUAUUAUUUAGAUAAAAUUAAAAUUUUAAAAUUUUAAAAAAUAUAAUAAUUAAAAAUAACAUAUCUUUCGAGUUAAAUGAGACCAUUUGGGUUUAACAAAUUUGUAAAAAUAAUUUAGUUUAAUUAAUAAAUUUAUAUAAAAUUUAUAUUUUGUUCAACACGUUGCAUCUUUGAAUUUAGAUAAAAACAAUAGAAAAAUUAGAAUAUAAUUCAACUUGAUUCAAUUCAUAAAUACAAUUACUUUAUUGUACUAUUUUUUGGAUAUGGAUUAGUUGUGAAAUGUAACCAUUUAUAUGAAAAUAUUAGUUUGCAGGAAGAGAGUGUGGAUAAUCAAAUUAAUUAGUUAGAUAACCUAUGGGUGCUAAUUAAAUUAUAAUCCAAGGAUUUUGAUUAAUUUGUGCAAAAAUUAAAUCAAAUGUUAAGACAACGAGUUUGAUGUUAAUCUUGCACCUAAUUUCUCUUUUCAUUUCUUAUUUUCCACUCCAAUAUUUUGCUUCUUUUUUCCAUUAAGCUUUAUUUUGAGUUUUCUUCUUUUAAUUAAUUUUUUUAAAAAAAUUAUAAAAGUUAAUUUAAAUAUAUUAAUUAGUUAUUGGGGUAGUGACAAAUGACCGGUGCUUAAGUCUUUAUUAACAUAAGGAAUAAAUUAAAAAAAUUUCAUUUAUAUCUAUUUUAUUUUAGUACAAUACAUUAAACACUCAAAUAUUUAUUACAUGCAUUCAAAUUCAACUAAACACUUAUUUCUUUUGAACAAUCUCAUUUUUUAUCAUAUCUGCUCUUUUUGACACAAUGCCUAAAACUACUCAAAGUCCAUAAUAAGAGGAUAAUGCGCUUCUGCACACUCAAAACCACGUCUUUCUACAUUAACUACAAUACUCAUGCCAAUCAAACUAAAACUCAACCGGCAAUAUAACUAAUCACUUAAGAAGGUGCAAAUAAAAAAAUUCCCUAGUUUAGAUCUCAAUCGUUUUUAAACUUUUUUUUAUUUACAUGUGCUAUUUGUAUAGUAUUAAAGCAUUAAACAAUUUCUUAAACCAUAUAGAAACAUUCAAUAAUAUUUAAAUUAAUUGUGAAUGGAAUUGGAUAAUAGAUUUGUACAAGUCUAGGGAUCAGUCUCAAAACAGGUGGAGUCCACUCUCCACUCUUUGAUUUUGGUUUAAGCUUUUAGAUCAUGAUAAUCAGAUGAAAGUAAAAUUUAUUUAUGUUUAAUACAUGGUGAAUAUGUAUAUGAAUCUAUUAAAGAAAUUUUUGAAAACCUUAAAAUUUUGAUGUAAAUGAGAUAUUUAUAUUCAUAAGUUAUUUGAGUUUGAUUAAAAACACUCAAACUCGAUUGAUAAUUAUUGAGACGAGUUCGAGCAUGUCAACUCUCAAGAUAUUUGUCGAAUUGAAUUUGAGCACUGUAAUACUUGAUUUGAAUAACUUGUGAACUUAACCAAACUUUUUAUUUGAAUAUCUUUUAUAUUAUAAAGUUACAAUCUUACCCUUAAGUAUGAACAAGCUUGAUUGAGCUUUAAUUCAAGAAUGAGUAUGGAAAUUGAUAAAUGAGCUUAUUCGAGUUUGAUUAUGUCUUGAAUUGAGCUUGAAUAUAAAAUUCGACAUUCGAUGGAGCUCAAGUCGAGUAUUGAGACCCAAAUUUUUAGUUGAGCUUGAGCUUGUCAAUAUUAAGGUUUAACUCAACUCGAUUACACCCUUAAGCGUGGUCAGACAAUAGGUAAAGACAUUGGCUCCUCUUGAUUAAAUGAUAUAUAUACUAUUUUUUCUAGUCUCAUUUAAAAUUAAUAUUGCAAUUUAAUCCUUUUUAACCUUUUACUCAAAUGGAAAAAAAUAUUAAGUCAAUUUAAAUAAUUUUACCCCAAAAUUUAUAGUUUUAACCCUUGAAUUUUUAAAAAUUUUCUCAAUCUUCCAACACAAAAUUCCUAGGUUUGCCAUUUCUCUUAACCCUAGACCGCUAACUAAUUAUACUCUUCAUAAGACAUUAUACGUAUUAUUCCACAUGAACAUAUAAAUUUUAAAAAACUAUAAUAAUAUUGGUGUCAACUAAACUUAUAACCCAUAAACUUUGUUAGUGACAAUUACACUGUUCAUAUACAAUUCUAGUUGCAACUCAAUUUGCCAUAUUUGAACGGAACCUUUUGAUUAAAAAAAACUUUGAAUUUUUUAAUGCGCAUACUUGGAGGAUUUCUAGCAAUACUAUAUUGAAUUAAACUGUGAAUAAAAUCAAGCCAAGCAAAGAUUCUAUGAAUACUUUCAAGGGUCAAAGUUUACUUAUUUAAAGAGAUUUGAAUUCUAAAAAAAUAUCCGCUAAUUCUAUUUCAUAUUAAAGAUUUUAUCGAGCCAACUUUAAAGAGAUAGAUCUUCACGUCAAUUAUAAUGGUCGUUAUAAUUUUAUGUCAAGAUUGAAAACGAUUAUUUUGUUCGUGUAAGGAACUUACUUUAAUAAAUAUUUUAUUGUAAAUCAACGAUUUUCUAACUUUUCUAGGGAAAAAGUAUCGGUGAUUGAGUUGAAAAUAAAUCAUAUUAUGUACAAAUUAAUUUAUAAUGAAUUACUCUUUAAUUUCCAUAACUAUAAUUUUUUUUCGGAACUGUAUAACCAAAUUACGGUAUCCUAUUGAAAAGGAUACGGAGAAGUGUCCCAAAGCAUUAGAAAACUUCUCAAGUAGAAAUGUGAAUAAGAAAGGCUACCAUAUAUGGUCCUUUUUCCUUGAAUGAUUGUUAAGCAAAUGCUUUCAUUAUUUUUAUUGUUAUUUUCACAAACAAGUAUCAUCCCCAUCUCAUUCAAUCCACAAUAAUAAAGACAAUUAAGGGUGAGUGUGAUCGAAUUGAGUGAAAAAUUUUGAGUUAAUUGAAUUGACGAGUCCUAUUUUAUCAUUCUAGCUCGAUUUAAAAUUUUUUCGAAAUGAAAUUUGAGUUAAGUCGAAUCGAAUGAAAUGUUCGAGUUAAAUUAAAACAUUAAACAUGUCGAAUUAAAAUAUUGUUACAAUAUAACUAAUUCAAUGUUGAAGCACAUAAAUUUGAAACCAUAUAUAUUUGAAAACUUUUUCAAAGAAAAAUAAAAAAUUACUUUAGUAUGAUAAACUUAAAAAAUUAAUUAAUUAAUUUAAGUUUCAAAAAUUAUUAUUCUAGAAAAUUUAUUUUUUAACUUUUUUAUAUAUUUUUUAGAAUUUUUUUCUGAAAUUUUUAUAAUUUUUUAAAAAAUAUAAAUUUUGGAAUUUUUAUAAAUAUUUUAAAAUUUUAAAAUUAUUUUGAAUUAUUUUAUAAUUUUUGUUAAAGAGAGAGACCAAUUUACUUAUUUUCAAACUUGACAAUGACCAAAAGGGUAUUUAUGCCAAUCUAUUAUUCAAAUUAUUCGAAUUGUAAAAUUCAACUCGACUUGAAUAACUCGAUUCAAUUAACUCAAAAUUCAAAAGAAAAUUUAAUUUUUUCAAAUCAAAUAAAAUUUUACCCACCCCUAAAACACCCAUAUCUAAUCCUAUAUAUGGUUUUCAAAUAUUUUCUUUUAAUCAUGGUUAGUUUUUUUGUUAAUUUUCUAUUCCUACUUUUUACCUUAAACUUCACAUCCAUUUAAUCACCAACAAUUGGUAUAACCCCACACGUUGUUUUCUUUCUGUUUAUAUCUUACAACUUACAACCAAAACAUCCACACUACACACACAUAUAUAUAUUCAUUCCAAUCUGCUAAAUUGGUAUCCAAAACUACUCAACUUUCUCUCUGAAUUCCUACAAGUUAGGUUAGUGUUUUCCAUUUGCAUUUUUGUGUUAAAAGUUGUUUCUCUUGAGAGUUCUAAAUGCAUGUCUAUGUUUUGAAAUGGGGUUUACUUUUUGUCUUUUGUUCAUAAUGUAAAUUUAUUGGAUAUUUUGCUGUUUAUCUGCAAUGUAAUUGCCAAUGAUUUGAUUCUUGUAGGAGUUUGGAGAGUGGUCACCGCUGAAGCAAAACAAUUUUCUUGGGGGAAAAGAAAAUGGAGUUUUCCAUGAUUUUUAUGAUUAGCUUCUCUGUAUUGAUUUUGUGCUCCUCACUGGCAUAUGGUCAAGUUGCAAUGAGCACAAGCCCGACACCGUCACCCUCACCAGCACCGGCACCGACACCGGCAUACACAAAUAUCAAAGACUUACUCUCUGUGGCAGGUCCAUAUCACAAGUUCCUGGGCUACCUCGAGUCGACUAAAUUAAUCGACACGUUCCAAAUCCAAGCCAACAACACGGUUGAAGGCAUUACGAUUUUCGUACCGAAAGACAGCGCAUUCAAGGCUCUUAAGAAGCCUUCAUUGUCAAAUCUAACUGAUGAUCAGUUCAAAUCAGUGCUCCUUUACCAUGCCUUGCCACGAUACUAUGCCCUUGCGGACUUCAAUGACCUAAGUGAGAAAGGCCUUAUUAGUACACUUGCUGGUGGCCAAUACACUUUGCAAUUCAACGAUGAGUCUGGUACCGUCCGCCUCGAUUCCGGAUGGAGCAAAACAAAAGUCACUAGCGCAGUACAUACGUCCAAGCCAGUCGCAGUCUAUCAAAUCGAUAAGGUCCUUCUUCCGGAGGCCAUUUUCGGGACCGACAUACCUCCGACACCUGCACCUGCCCCGGCUCUUGGUAUUGGCCCAUCAGCUGACACUCCAUCAGCAGCAAAAUCCGAAGAAACUGGUUCCUCAUCAAAGCCUUCGUUUUCGGGUUCAUCAUCUCCUAGGAUCAUGAUGAACUCGGGCAUUUGGACUCAGCUGGUUUUGGCAUUCUUAGGUGGAUGGCUGGUUCUCUUUUUCUGAGACGUUAUAAUUUUAUGUUGAAAGGGGGGCACAUAUGGGGUUCUCAAUUUUCUGUGAUUUUUAGACCCCAUUUUCUUUCAUAUAUAUGUUACUGUGUGUUAUUAUAAAAAGAAUGUUAUUGUGUGUUAAGAAUAUGGUUGUGUUAUAAUUACCAUUUCAAUUUUAAUGGAGUUUUGCCUUAAAUCUCUGUUUUUCACUUGUUCAUACUUGUUUCUAAGUUUGGCCCCAUCUAUAACUAUUUGGCGAGUGAGAGCUUAGGAAAGAAAACUCCUAGCAGGAGGCGAAGCAGAAAAAACUUUUAGAAAAUUAAAUUAUCAAUUUUUUUUUAAGGUUAAAAUGUAACC
rnacentral:lncRNA from 1 species